UCACAACUUGUCCCAUCCUUCUGUGAUGUCAUAAUUCGAGCAGCAGCCCACAAAUCUGAACACUAACCAGCCCUGUAACUGGUCCCCACCUCCCACACACUUUUCAUCACCCACUUGCACACAACAUCUGGGGCCUCUAUUUCCACCCUACUAUCCUGUGAGCUUACUGCCCAGAUUCCGUGUCCAACGAUACUCAGAGAGCCGGUAUCCUCAGGAGGAUGCACUAUGGGGAAUCCAGGAAUACCUGCUAGAGACCAGGCAUGCAGGAAACCUGGACAUUUCUGUGGCAAAGAACCCAAGAGAUGCUGACACCAACUUUCUUCUUGACAGAGAGGGAAGCACACAGCUCUGGGGGCCUUCUAGAGUCACGGCCCUCGCUCACCAGGAGAUUAACCCGUCAGGCUGUCGAGUGAGAAGGGACGGAGCAGACCCUGACAGGAGGCCCGCAAUGCAGGGGAAAUCAAAACAAAUCCACCUGCUCAGGGAAGACUUUUUCGACACCUCGUCCCCCUACGGACAUCUGUGGCAAGUGUCAUCGCGACCACUGGUGUGGCACUGGAUCAUUUAUGACUGCCUCAUGACAUUAUUUUUCACUGUUGUCUUUGUAUUGUUGUUUGACGACUUUGUGUAAUGGUCUCUUCUCACUCCACAAAUAAACUGCAGCACCUGGCAGGCGGGGAGCAGCUUGA